CGGAGCUAAUCCCUUAAAGCCAUUCUCAGUUCGGAUUGUAGGCUGAAACUCGCCUACAUGAAGCUGGAGUUACUAGUAAUCGCAGAUCAGAAUGCUGCGGUGAAUGCGUUCCCGGGUCUUGUACACACCGCCCGUCACACCACGGAAGUUGGGGGCGCCCGAAGCCACUUAGCUAACCCUUUUGGGAAGCGAGUGUCGAAGGUGAAAUCAAUAACUGGGGUGAAGUCGUAACAAGGUAGC
rnacentral:rRNA from 1 species